UCGAGAAUCUUCGGCAAUGGGCGAAAGCCUGACCGAGCGACGCCGCGUGCGGGAUGAAGGCCCUCGGGUUGUAAACCGCUGUCAGUGGGGAGGAAGGCUCUGUGAAGAGCAGGGUUUGACCUAUCCGCAGAGGAAGUCCGGGCUAAGUUCGUGCCAGCAGCCGCGGUAACACGAACCGGACGAACGUUAUUCGGAAUCACUGGGCUUAAAGGGUGCGUAGGCGGCCUGACAAGUUGGGUGUGAAAUCCCUCGGCUUAACCGAGGAAUUGCGCUCAAAACUGUUGGGCUUGAGGGAGUUAGAGGUAAGCGGAACUUAGGGUGGAGCGGUGAAAUGCGUUGAUAUCCUAAGGAACACCAGUGGCGAAAGCGGCUUACUGGAGCUCUUCUGACGCUGAGGCACGAAAGCUAGGGGAGCGAACG
rnacentral:rRNA from 1 species